CAAUAGCGUAUAUUAAAGUUGUUGCGGUUCAAAAGCUCGUAGUUGGAUUUCUGCUGAGAACGACCGGUCCGCCCUCUGGGUGUGUAUCUGGCUCUUUCUUGGCAUCUUCUUGGUGAACGUUGCUGCACUUGACUGUGUGGAGCGCUACCCAGGACUUUUACUUUGAGGAAAUUAGAGUGUUUCAAGCAGGCAUACGCCUUGAAUACAUUAGCAUGGAAUAAUAAGAUAGGACCUCGGUUCUAUUUUGUUGGUUUCUAGAGCUGAGGUAAUGAUUAAUAGGGAUAGUUGGGGGCAUUCGUAUUUAACUGUCAGAGGUGAAAUUCUUGGAUUUGUUAAAGACGGACUACUGCGAANGNAUUUGCNAAGGAUGUUUNCAUUG
rnacentral:rRNA from 1 species